UAUAUGAUGAUUAAUACAUUGUUCCUUUUGUUCUUUCUUAUUCUACUUGGUUAACUUCCUAGUUUAUCCAAUGAGAGAUGGCUUCUCCUCUGAAGAAUGCUCUGCUACAUGUGGCUCUAUCCUACACGUGUGUCUGUUUUGAGGACUAUUAUAAAAAGGAUAAUGAGGUGGUGGCACUACCUGCCUGUAUUGGAAUUGAGUGGCUCACAGAUUCUAAUUUUCUAGAUGGUCUAAAUGUUGUUCUUGGAUCAGGUAAGCAGAUGGUGCACGUCUGAAACAGGGCCUUCAGAGCACUCUUCUCAUGACGCUGAGAAGGAACAUUUAUGAGGGAGUCAUUGUCUCAGUUCACAGGGCCUGAACUAUUGGUGUCAUCAAAUUCUGUGCAGCUUUCUGCUUUCUGGGGUCCCCAAGAAUCUGGUCCAACCUUACGGUAAACUAUCCAUUUUUCUGGGGGAAAUUAAAAGUGCCUACACAGUUGCUCUUCCUAGUUCCUGUGGCUGUGGUGUUACUAGGGCAGUAAUCCAGGCCUCUUGCCAAGGUCAGGGCCCCACUAAGGCCAUGUUUCUUGAUGGAGUUCAAAGGUUCUGACAAAGUACCUCUUUCCAACAUGCAGAUGUCCUUGCUGAGUCACAUGUGGCCAUGCAGAAUGUCAUCAGUAUAUUAUGGGUGACGCUUUGUAAAGAAAAACUUUUUAAGUCAUCACCUAUUCCAGGCCCAGUGGAUUUUCUACUUUGACAUGCCUGCUGGCUUUAGGCUGUGUAUCCCAGAAGUUUCCAAACCUUAAGUUCAGGUGUGAAAAGAGGAGUCAUUUGAACUCUGGAAGCUUUCCACCAAAAGAAGGAGAAAUCAUUGGAAGAUACCGGGCACAUUUUCCUAAGGGCAGAAGUUUGAUGAGUGAAAAUGAGAGUAAGGUAGAAAGAAGUUGAAAUUGUUGGUUCUCUAAAUACCCCGACUUGGUAUGUGGCCAUAACAAAACUGUUAAGUAAAAGGUUGAAGGAAGUGGAGAAAUGAGAUCCAUUUAACAGGACACUUUGGGAGUUCUUUUGCUGACUUUUUCUUCAGAGAUCUUAUUAUAGGCUGUCAUGGGACCAUCAUAAGAGGUAACAGUAAAAACAGAAAGUAUUAUAGGCUUAUGGCUGAGAUUGUGGGCCUUUCAUGAGAAGGUGACUGUUUCAAAGUCCUGUCUGAAUUUACUACUAAAG
rnacentral:lncRNA from 1 species